AUUGAACGCUGGCGGCAGGCCUAACACAUGCAAGUCGAGCGGCAGCGGGACCUUCGGGUUGCCGGCGAGCGGCGGACGGGUGAGUAAUGCCUAGGAAUCUGCCUGUUAGUGGGGGAUAACGCGGGGAAACUCGCGCUAAUACCGCAUACGUCCUACGGGAGAAAGCGGGGGCUCUUCGGAGCUCGCGCUAACAGAUGAGCCUAGGUCGGAUUAGCUAGUUGGUGGGGUAAUGGCCCACCAAGGCGACGAUCCGUAACUGGUCUGAGAGGAUGAUCAGUCACACUGGAACUGAGACACGGUCCAGACUCCUACGGGAGGCAGCAGUGGGGAAUAUUGGACAAUGGGCGAAAGCCUGACCCAGCCAUGCCGCGUGUGUGAAGAAGGUCUUCGGAUUGUAAAGCACUUUAAGUCGGGAGGAAGGACUGUAGGCUAAUACCUUGCAGUUUUGACGUUACCGACAGAAUAAGCACCGGCUAACUUCGUGCCAGCAGCCGCGGUAAUAC
rnacentral:rRNA from 1 species